CCUCUCUCAGGGUAGCAUCUGGAGAGUUUCCAGUACUCUACCAGUCUCGGCUACGGGAGGGAGAAUCAAGCAGAAGCUACCCAUUCCACUCCUAGCUUGGCCAGUAGCUAGAGAGUGGAAGGCAAUCUGCCACAAGU